GCUCAGAACGAACGCUGGCGGCGUGUUUAAGACAUGCAAGUCGCACGGAAUAAUUUAAGUAGUAAUACCUAAUGAGUUCAGUGGCGCACGGGUGAGUAACACGUGAAUUACAUGCCCUUCAGUGGGGAAUAGCCCAGGGAAACUUGGAUUAAUACCCCAUGGUAUCGCAAGAUUAAAGGUGGCCGCAAGGCUGUCGCUGAAGGAUUGGUUCGCGCCCUAUCAGCUUGUUGGUGAGGUAAUGGCUCACCAAGGCUACGACGGGUACCUGGUCUGAGAGGACGAUCAGGCACACUGGAACUGAGACACGGUCCAGACACCUACGGGUGGCAGCAGUCGAGAAUAAUUCACAAUAGGGGCAACCCUGAUGGUGCAACGCCGCGUGGAGGAUGACGGUCUUCGGAUUGUAAACUCCUGUCAUCCGGGAGAAAGACCUGGGAGUUAAUAGCUCACAGGGGUUGAUAGUACCGGAAGAGGAAGG
rnacentral:rRNA from 1 species